UACGUAGGGUGCAAGCGUUGUCCGGAAUUAUUGGGCGUAAAGAGCUCGUAGGCGGUCUGUCACGUCGGCUGUGAAAUCCCGAGGCUCAACCUCGGGUCUGCAGUCGAUACGGGCAAACUAGAGUACUGCAGGGGAGACUGGAAUUCCUGGUGUAGCGGUGAAAUGCGCAGAUAUCAGGAGGAACACCGGUGGCGAAGGCGGGUCUCUGGGCAGUAACUGACGCUGAGGAGCGAAAGCAUGGGGAGCGAACAGG
rnacentral:rRNA from 1 species